CCUACGGGUGGCAGCAGUGGGGAAUAUUGGACAAUGGGGGGAACCCUGAUCCAGCCAUGCCGCGUGUGUGAAGAAGGCCCUCGGGUUGUAAAGCACUUUCAGUGAGGAAGAACGCCUGGUGGUUAAUACCCAUCAGGAAAGACAUCACUCACAGAAGAAGCACCGACUAACUCCGUGCCAGCAGCCGCGGUAAUACGGAGGGUGCGAGCGUUAAUCGGAAUUACUGGGCGUAAAGCGCGCGUAGGUGGCUUGAUAAGCCGGUUGUGAAAGCCCCGGGCUCAACCUGGGAACGGCAUCCGGAACUGUCAAGCUAGAGUGCAGGAGAGGAAGGUAGAAUUCCCGGUGUAGCGGUGAAAUGCGUAGAGAUCGGGAGGAAUACCAGUGGCGAAGGCGGCCUUCUGGACUGACACUGACACUGAGGUGCGAAAGUGUGGGUAGCAAACAGGAUUAGAUACCCGUGUAGUC
rnacentral:rRNA from 1 species